GCGAGAGUGGCGGAAUUGGCAGACGCGCCAGACUUAGGAUCUGGUGCCGAAAGGCGUGGGGGUUCGAGUCCCCCCUUUCGCA
rnacentral:tRNA from 1 species